CACGUAGGGUCCAAGCGUUGUCCGGAUUUAUUGGGCGUAAAGAGCUCGUAGGCGGCUUGGUAAGUCGAGUGUGAAAACUCUGGGCUCAACUCAGAGACGCCACUCGAUACCGCCAUGGCUUGAGUCCGGUAGGGGAGUGUGGAAUUCCCGGUGUAGCGGUGAAAUGCGCAGAUAUCGGGAAGAACACCCGUGGCGAAGGCGGUUCUCUGGGACGGUACUGACGCUGAGACGCGAAAGCGUGGGGAGCGAACAGG
rnacentral:rRNA from 1 species